rnacentral:rRNA from 1 species
GACGAACGCUGGCGGCGUGCCUAAUACAUGCAAGUCGAGCGGACCGACGGGAGCUUGCUCCCUUAGGUCAGCGGCGGACGGGUGAGUAACACGUGGGUAACCUGCCUGUAAGACUGGGAUAACUCCGGGAAACCGGGGCUAAUACCGGAUGCUUGAUUGAACCGCAUGGUUCAAUCAUAAAAGGUGGCUUUCAGCUACCACUUACAGAUGGACCCGCGGCGCAUUAGCUAGUUGGUGAGGUAACGGCUUACCAAGGCGACGAUGCGUAGCCGACCUGAGAGGGUGAUCGGCCACACUGGGACUGAGACACGGCCCAGACUCCUACGGGAGGCAGCAGUAGGGAAUCUUCCGCAAUGGACGAAAGUCUGACGGAGCAACGCCGCGUGAGUGAUGAAGGUUUUCGGAUCGUAAAACUCUGUUGUUAGGGAAGAACAAGUACCGUUCGAAUAGGGCGGCACCUUGACGGUACCUAACCAGAAAGCCACGGCUAACUACGUGCCAGCAGCCGCGGUAAUACGUAGGUGGCAAGCGUUGUCCGGAAUUAUUGGGCGUAAAGCGCGCACAGGCGGUUUCUUAAGUCUGAUGUGAAAGCCCCCGGCUCAACCGGGGAGGGUCAUUGGAAACUGGGGAACUUGAGUGCAGAAGAGGAGAGUGGAAUUCCACGUGUAGCGGUGAAAUGCGUAGAGAUGUGGAGGAACACCAGUGGCGAAGGCGACUCUCUGGUCUGUAACUGACGCUGAGGCGCGAAAGCGUGGGAGCGAACAGG